UACGUAGGGUGCAAGCGUUGUCCGGAAUUAUUGGGCGUAAAGAGCUCGUAGGCGGUCUGUCGCGUCUGCUGUGAAAACUCGGGGCUUAACCCCGGGCCUGCAGUGGGUACGGGCAGACUAGAGUGCGGUAGGGGAGACUGGAAUUCCUGGUGUAGCGGUGAAAUGCGCAGAGUAUCAGGAGGGAACACCGGUGGCGAAGGCGGGUCUCUGGGCCGUAACUGACGCUGGAGGAGCGAAAGCGUGGGGAGCGAACAGG
rnacentral:rRNA from 1 species